CUCCUCAUAUGGGCACUUAUUGCUAUAUACUUUCCUCUAGAGACUGCUUUAAAUGUGUCCCAGAGAUUCUGGCAUGUUGUGUCUUCAUUCUCAUUGGUUUCGAAGAACUUCUUUAUUUCUGUCUUCAUUUCAUUGUUUACCCAGUCAACAUUCAAGAGCCAGUUGUUCAGUUUCCAUGAAGCUGAUGCUCUUUAGCAUUUGGUAUGUUUUUGGAAUGGCUGGUACUGGUUGUUCCGUUCUAUGUGUAGUGCCUCUUUCAGGAGCUCUUGUAAAGCAGGCCUGGUGGUGACAAAAUCUCUGAGUACUUGCUUGUUCGCAAAGGAUUUUAUUUUUUCUUCACUUCUGAAGCUCAGUUUGGCUGAAUAUGAAAUUCUGGGUGAAAGUUCUUUUCUUUAAGGAUGUUGAAUAUUGGCCCCCACUUUCUUCUGGCUUGUAGUGUUUCUGCCGAGAGAUCUGCUGUGAGUUUGAUGGGCUUCCCUUUGUGGGUGACCCGACCUUUCUCUCUGGCUGCCCUUAGCAUUCUCUCCUUCAUUUCAACCCUGGUGAAUCUGACAAUUAUGUGUCUUGGGGUUGCUCUUCUUGCGGAAUAUCUUUGUGGUGUUCUCUGUAUUUCCUGGACUUGAAUAUUGGCCUGCCUUGCUAGGUUGGAGAAAUUUUCCUGGAUAAUAUCCUGAAGAGUAUUUUCCAGCUUGGAUUCAUUCUCUUCGUCACAUUCAGGUACACCUAUCAAACGUAGAUUAGGUCUCUUCACAUAGUCCCACAUUUCUUGGACAGUUUGUUCAUUCCUUUUUGCACUUUUUUCUCUAAUCUUGCCUUCUCAUUUCAUUUCAUUGAGUUGAUCUUCAACCUCUGAUAUCCUUUCUUCUGCUUGGUCAAUUCGGCUGUUGAGACUUGUGCAUGCUUUGCGAAGUUCUCAUGUUGUGUUUUUCAGCUCCAUUAAUUCACUCAUAUUCCUCUCUAAGUUGUCCGUUCUUGUUAUCAUUUCCUCAAAUCUUUUUUUAAGGUUCUUAGUUUCUUUGCAUUGAGUUAGAACGUGUUCUUUUAGCUCACGGAAGUUUCUCAUUACCCACCUUCUGAAGUCUGAUUCUGUCAUUUCAUCACACUCAUUCUCCAUCCAGCUUUGUUCCCUUGCUGGUGAGGGGUUGUGAUCCCGUGUAGGAGGCGAGGUGUUCCAGUUUUGGGUGUUUUCCUCCUUUUUGUGCUGGUUUCUUCCCAUCUUUGUGGAUUUAUCCACCUGUCGUCUGAGUAGUUGCUGACUUUCCGAUUGGGUCUUUGAGUGGAUGUCCAGA
rnacentral:lncRNA from 13 species